rnacentral:rRNA from 1 species
GACGAACGCUGGCGGCGUGCUUAACACAUGCAAGUCGAACGGAAAGGCCCUGCUUUUGUGGGGUGCUCGAGUGGCGAACGGGUGAGUAACACGUGAGUAACCUGCCCUUGACUUUGGGAUAACUUCAGGAAACUGGGGCUAAUACCGGAUAGGAGCUCCUGCUGCAUGGUGGGGGUUGGAAAGUUUCGGCGGUUGGGGAUGGACUCGCGGCUUAUCAGCUUGUUGGUGGGGUAGUGGCUUACCAAGGCUUUGACGGGUAGCCGACCUGAGAGGGUGACCGGCCACAUUGGGACUGAGAUACGGCCCAGACUCCUACGGGAGGCAGCAGUGGGGAAUAUUGCACAAUGGGCGGAAGCCUGAUGCAGCAACGCCGCGUGCGGGAUGACGGCCUUCGGGUUGUAAUCCGCUUUCGCCUGUGACGAAGCGUGAGUGACGGUAAUGGGUAAAGAAGCACCGGCUAACUACGUG